AUUGAACGCUGGCGGCAUGCCUUACACAUGCAAGUCGAACGGCAGCACGGGUGCUUGCACCUGGUGGCGAGUGGCGAACGGGUGAGUAAUACAUCGGAACAUGUCCUGUAGUGGGGGAUAGCCCGGCGAAAGCCGGAUUAAUACCGCAUACGAUCUACGGAGGAAAGCGGGGGACCUUCGGGCCUCGCGCUAUAGGGUUGGCCGAUGGCUGGUUAGCUAGUUGGUGGGGUAAAGGCCUACCAAGGCGACGAUCAGUAGCUGGUCUGAGAGGACGACCAGCCACACUGGGACUGAGACACGGCCCAGACUCCUACGGGAGGCAGCAGUGGGGAAUUUUGGACAAUGGGCGAAAGCCUGAUCCAGCAAUGCCGCGUGUGUGAAGAAGGCCUUCGGGUUGUAAAGCACUUUUGUCCGGAAAGAAAUCCUUGGCCCUAAUACGGUCGGGGGAUGACGGUACCGGAAGAAUAAGCACCGGCUAACUACGUG
rnacentral:rRNA from 1 species